UUUCCACAGUUUGGCUAUUGUGGACAUUGCCUGCAGCAGCCCUUUUCUGUCAGCAGGAGCCCAGGACUUACAGGAGGGGAAACAGUGUUGCACUGUUGUCUUCCCUCCAACUGUUGGCUCUUUUCUGUUCUCCAGCUCUUCCUCCUCCUCCUGCAGCAGAAGAAGAAGCCUCUGCCAACUACUUCAACCUCCCCCCGAGUGGUCCUCCAGCUGUGGUGAACAUUGCACUGCCACCACCCCCUGGUAUUGCCCCGCCCCCACCCCCAGGUUUUGGGCCACACAUGUUCCACCCAAUGGGACCACCCCCUCCUUUCAUGAGGGCUCCAGGACCAAUCCACUAUCCUUCUCAGGACCCUCAGAGGAUGGGCGCUCAUGCCGGCAAACACAGCAGUCCCUAGCACAUUAUCACCACUCCGGGGCUUUACAGAAGAAAGGGCGCUUAAAAAUCCCAGUACAUGAAUCUUGGAAUAAAUAUAUUUUUCCUUCCUUUGUAGUUUCCAUGGUAGCUGAAUGUGUUCAGAUGUGGGCAGUCAGAGAACGACAGCCGUGCUUCCCUACACGUAUUCCAAGGAUUGAUGGACCUCAAAUAAGCUGCCAUUAACACAUUUGGUUACUACUAUAACAUUACUAAUCAAACUUAAUGCCUGUUCUCCUUACUUCUGUGGCGAACAAGCAACUGGGUGAAUUGGAAUGUCUAACGGAGUUACCAUCCCAAUUGUAUGUUCAUUUUGUAUCUUUUUUGGGGGGAAAAAAUUGACCUGCAGUAAAAUCUUUUUGACCAUUUUUAUGUCCAUUGGGUAUUUUUCCUUUUUAUCAUCUGCAAAAAGAUUACUAGUACUAAUCAUUGUAGUGGCAUGAGUGUGAUUUAACACUUCAGAAGUCAACAUUAAAGAGACAAGUAGAAACCAGCACCCAGCACAGCCCAGAUCUUUUCUUACCUCUCCUUUCCUCAUUACUAAAGGAAUCUGGCGGAUAGUUUUACCUCUCUGCGCUACCAAAACAAGACAAAAACAAAAAUUGCUUUUUAUUCCCGUCAAUUGGAUGGAAACACAAAUGUUAUGGAGCUGCGUAUUAUUGAAAAAAUCUGGUGUCUGGGAUGAAAUUAUUUUAAAGAGCUUCCUGUAAAACACGUGAGCAAACUGAGCCGAAAGGCACUGGCGCGUGUUGGAAGACCUGUGACCUGCAGCUAGCUGGGACUGUCACCUCUAGCAUUCACCUUCGUGUGUCUUCAGCGUCACGUCUUCAGCCCCUGCUUCUGGCCAGGGCACUCUGUUUGGUUUUAGAAUGUUUGGAUAUAACUGAAUUGUAGAUGGUAAAAAUAAUUGGAUGUUGUGUUGUGUUUUUUGUUUUUAAAAAAUUAAAACGGGUCAAUUUUCCAAA